CUACGGGCGGCAGCAGUGGGGAACUUUGCGCAAUGGGCGAAAGCCUGACGCAGCAACGCCGCGUGAGUGAUGAAGGUUUUCGGAUCGUAAAGCUCUGUCAAGAGGGAAGAAACCUCCAACGGCUAAUACCUGUUGGACUUGACGGUACCUCUAGAGGAAGCACCGGCUAACUCCGUGCCAGCAGCCGCGGUAAUACGGAGGGUGCAAGCUUUGUUCGGAAUUAUUGGGCGUAAAGCGCGUGUAGGCGGUUUGCCAAGUCUGAUGUGAAAGCCCCGGGCUCAACCUGGGAAGUGCAUUGGAAACUGGUAAACUUGAGUACGGGAGAGGGAAGUGGAAUUUCGAGUGUAGGGGUGAUAUCCGUAGAUAUUCGAAGGAACACCAGUGGCGAAGGCGGCUUCCUGGACCGAUACUGACGCUGAGACGCGAAAGCGUGGGGAGCAAACAGGAUUAGAUACCCGGGUAGUC
rnacentral:rRNA from 1 species